AAGUCGAGGUAAGGGUGAUGUCGGCUCGCGGAUAGCAGAGGAGUUUCGGGUGAUCUUGCCUAACGAGCAGGAAACUGUGCGUGGUUUCUCGAGUCCUUGGAGAGUGAAGGCCCCCGGGGUCGCUCCCGUGCACGGAGAGCCGAUUGGUUCACGGCCUAGUGUUCGGUUUGUCCCCAGUCAGCCCUUGCUGGCCUUGGGUUCAACCGAAUGAACGCCAGAAACUCUGUGGGGUGGGUGGAGUCACCAAGCGUGGUGCAUCCACAUGAAUCAGCCUACUGUACUGGGAAAGAGCCACCUGAAUUUGUGAGUGUUGGAAAAAGCAAAAGGGGAAGAAAAAUGAUCAGGAGUGUCAUUUUUGGAUAGGAAGGGCAGCGAAUAACAUAGUGUUAACCACUAGAAUUCACAGUAAAAUUCCCCCCUCUGCGUUAUCUUUCCAGUUAUACCUUUUUUUGGUAACAUUAACCCUUAAUUUUGUUUGAACGUCUCUAGACUUGGAAUCGGGAAUGUGUGUCUUAAGUGGGUUAAUCCCUGGCUCUUGGAUGAUGGGGAGGAAGCCUAAUAUAUUCUGAGAGAAAAGCAACUGGAAGUCAAAUGAGAUUUUUUGUUUUCUCCUUCUUUUAUAUCUUGAGGAUUUUUCUGGUGGUCUAGUCUCAGAGAUUACAUCUGUAGUCAGCACAAUGAUUCCCUUCCAAGCCCAGUGGUGCCCCGUUGCCUCCAGGUCCCAGACCUUUAUGUGGACAAGAAAAGCUUACAGAGGAAAUGGUAAUUCUCCACUUGCACCCUGAGGUGUCCAGUUGCAGCCCAUGGAGAUCCAAUUCAAUUAUGAAUCUCAGGAACACCACCUUCUGUCAGAUGGUGAGAACAAGACCAAGAUUGGAAAGCCAGCUUCAGAGGAGGGAAUUACAGCAAAAAUUGAACCAUUGACAGAAGAGUCUAGCAGUCUCAGAGAGAAUGUUCUCCAGGAUUCUGAAGGCAGAGAAUUCUGUGAAUUUGGGGAUAAAUUAAAUGAAAAAGAUCAGAACGUCUUUAAAAGGAGACCUCAUAACUGUGAUGAAUAUGGGCAAAGCUUUGUUUGGAAUACAGGCCUUUUUAGGCAUCGAAAAACCCACUGUGAGAAACCUUAUGAAUGUGAUAAGUGUGGAAAGGCCUUUAGUGUGAGCUCAGCCCUGGUUCUGCAUCAGAGAAUUCACACUGGGGAGAAACCUUAUUCCUGUAAUUGGUGUAUUAAAAGUUUCAGUCGGAGCUCAGACCUUAUUAAACACCAAAGAGUCCACACUGGUGAAAAACCUUAUAAAUGUGAUGAGUGUGGGAAAGCCUUCAGUCAGAGCUCAGAUCUUAUUAUACAUCAGAGAAUCCAUACAGGAGAAAAACCCUAUCAAUGCAGUCAUUGUAGUAAAAGUUUUAGCCAGCGCUCAGAUCUGGUUAAACAUCAGAGAAUCCAUACUGGAGAGAAGCCUUAUACUUGUAACCAGUGUAACAAACAUUUUAGUCAGAGUUCUGAUGUGAUAAAACAUCAAAGAAUCCACACUGGGGAGAAACCAUAUAAAUGUGAUGUGUGUGCGAAAGCCUUCAGUCAGAGCUCAGAUCUUAUUCUGCAUCAGAGAAUUCACAGUGGGGAGAAACCAUAUCCAUGUAAUCAGUGUAGCAAAAGUUUCAGUCAGAAUUCAGACCUUAUUAAACAUCGAAGGAUCCACACUGGAGAGAAACCCUAUAAAUGUAAUGAAUGUGGGAAAGCUUUUAAUCAGAGCUCAGUCCUUAUUUUACAUCAGAGGAUUCAUACUGGAGAGAAACCCUAUCCCUGUGAUCAAUGUAGCAAAACCUUCAGUAGGCUUUCAGAUCUUAUUAAUCAUCAACGAAUUCACACUGGAGAGAAGCCUUACCCAUGUAAUCAGUGCAAUAAAAUGUUUAGUCGAAGAUC
rnacentral:sRNA from 1 species